AGGUAAUAUGCAUAAUAAUAUUAUAUUAUUAUUAUUUGUAUAUUUUAAGUAAUUUCAUAUAUAUGAUUAAAGUAUGAAAUGAGCUAUGCAUUUGCAUCAUGAUUUAAAUUGGUUUUCAUUAAAUCCAAUUAUUAAAGAAAGACGAGUAAGAAUAUUGUUGGUGUUCUUAACUCAAGAGAAAUGUUUUCAAUUAUUUAUUCAUUAAAUUUUGAAAACCCGGCUAAGUGAAUCAUAGAAUAUUAAGCACUACACCAUGACUUAAGAUUAGAUUCAAGGAGACCUAUUAAGAAUAGAAUUUCUUGUAGGCUUUAUGAACCAAGGGGAUUAGCGCUGCUUUCCCAAGACGAGAUUAUGUGAUUAUGAUCUUCAGGCUUUGCCUAUCCAGGUUGGCUGGCCGGUGCUGACGGGACGGAGCUGAGGCUAGCGAUAAAUUCCUAUGUUAGACUUCCGCUGUAGCAAUUACUCAUAUCAGUCUUUUGUUUUCUCAACUUAAGAUCUUCAUGUUAAAUUUCAAAUGAUAUACCUGACCGAGCUUAGACUCUUCACUACUAAAUUUAUGCUAAUGAAUGUCGGUUGUCAGAAGCAUGAAACAAAACUUGUGAUCCAAAGGGGCAUAGCCCGACUCUCUAUCUUAUUAUUCGGGUUUUAACAAGGUUGUUCCUUGUUUAUUUCUAUGAA